UUCCGAGUUGGCUAAUGGGUAGGCCCUAAAUUUUGGUAUUUACUGUCCAUGUUCGAAUCAUGGCUCGGGAA
rnacentral:tRNA from 1 species